GGAGGGCUGACAGAGCGGCCGAAUGUGACGGUCUUGAAAACCGUUGUGCGGCAACCCCGCACCGCGGGUUCGAAUCCCGCGCCCUCCGCCU
rnacentral:tRNA from 1 species